rfam:TPA: Bos taurus chromosome 9, whole genome shotgun sequence.
UCCCUGGUGGCUCAGACGGUAAAGCAUCUGCCUGCAGUGUGGGAUACCCAGGUUUGAUCCCUGGGUUGGGAA